GCUGGACAAACCUCUUUGCUUUAUAUAGUAUUUAGCCCUAGAUACUUUGCCAUGGUAGCAAUAAAUGGAAUGAAACAGUUUGGAUCAUGUACCUCAAUGUGGCCCCAGGAAGAGGGAAAAACAAUGCCCUUCUGUGAUAGCUAAUUCUAGUUUUUAACUUGAUUGUUUUUAACUGGGGACUACCUAGGAGAAUAGGACGCCUCAGCUUUGGGUGUGUCUGUGAAGCCAUUUCCAGAAAGGAAUAACGAAAGAUGAGAGACCCGCCCAGAGUGUGGGCAGCAGCAUCCACCGGCUGGCAACAAUACAGCGAGGGUGGAAGGAUCACCCUACAGCCGCUUGCUCUCCUGUCCAUCACCCUGUGAACUGUUCCCUCAUCCUCUCUGCCAUGGAAGGCUGACCUGCUCACCUUCCCAAAGCAAUACAGAGCAUACGGCUGAAGUCCCUGUACCAUAUGGCAGAAUACCAAGAGAAGAACCCAUAAAUAAUUUCCAUCUUUCUAGAGGGCGGAGUUAAUGGCUUCCAGUCCCUAAAGAGAUCUCGGCUUUCCCCAGAUGAACCGGCAGCCUGAUACUGACUGGUGGUCUAGUCCUAUGGACUUUUUGGUCUAGUCUUACAGCCUUUGGCCUGGCACAAUGGAGAGGAGACUGGGCAUGCGGCGUGUUGCACCCUUUCUGUAUGCCUGUGGCCUGCAUUCUUCUGCAGAGGAGAAAGACAACAUAUCACAGAACUGCCACCAGAUAACAACUUGAAAGGGGGUGGUUGCAAACUCAGCAACGUGACCUCAAUCUGCAGUAGAAGUAAAUCCUGUGAAAAAUUUGAACUGGCUCUGAAGAUCUGUCCUCCAGGGGGAUUUUCAGGAGGACAGAAGAGUUUCCAGGCUUGUUGCUGGUGGAGAAGCUUGUUUGCUGUCUGUGCGUGACAUCCGUUCAAACUAGAAGCCUCGGUGUCGUAGUUCCCAAGAUCGCCAGCAGAGGGCAGAAAGCACAUCGGCUUUACAGCACCUGGCGUACCUGGUUUCUAGGCUGGCUUUUCCUCCCGUCUUGGUUAUGACCUCGAUGCCUGUGUGCUGUGGGGACCACACACAGCGGACAGUGUGUUUUGUUUUUUUUUUUCCCAACGUGUUUACGAAAGGGAAUUUCAAGAGAAUCCCGUAGAAGUUAGAAAACAUCGACUUUCUCAUUCCAGGUUACAGUCCAUUCCAAAACUGACUCUUGACCUGCAGCCUCAGUUUCUAAUCUGCUGAGGCUCCUUAACUUGGAGUGCAACCUCAUGCCCUGUCUGCCCCCUUUGUGCCACCCUUCAAUCCUCUCCCUUGCUUCUCUGUGCCAUCUCUACCCCAGAAUUCUCCGUGACUCGGGCAGCAGCUCUGUUCGCUCAGAUGACAAGGAAGGUCAAGAUGGUUACUCGUACCCGGGCUAUGCUGGUCCACAUUUCAGCUCAUACUUGGAAGUCAAGGCCAGUGCACCUGUCUCCAUAGCUCAUCCUUCCACGUAGCCAUGAACGCUCUGUGCUCUUCCGCCAGCUGUCGCUCUUUGGUACCAACAGAAGAACUGGAUAAGGACCGAGAAGGAUUAUGCCAUCAGAUUCCUACUGCUCUACUCCAUGUUGUCAUCAGAUAAAUCCUCUCUGUGUAAGCAUACGGAGAAGCCCUUCUCCUCCAGCCCUGUUCCCAAGGGAGCAGGGCAGAGUUUGUGUCACUCUAGGAAUUUCCCUUGCAUGCAUUUGCCAGAGGACAUUUAUAUAUGUAUAAUUCAAAUGGAUGCAGCCACAUCUUAUCAUUUCUUCCAAAAAUAAAAAUGUGGCCACUACAGCUUCUGUGCCUCAGAAAAUAGAA